ACCCUACGGGGCGCAGCAGUGGGGAAUAUUGCACAAUGGGGGGAACCCUGAUGCAGCGACGCCGCGUGAGUGAAGAAGUAUUUCGGUAUGUAAAGCUCUAUCGGCAGGGAAGAAAAAGCGCGCGAGCGCCCUUGACAGUACCUGACUAAGAAGCCCCGGCUAACUACGUGCCAGCAGCCGCGGUAAUACGUAUGGGGCAAGCGUUAUCCGGAUUUACUGGGUGUAAAGGGAGCGCAGGCGGCCUGCCAAGUCUGGUGUGAAAACCCGGGGCCCAACCCCGGGCC
rnacentral:rRNA from 1 species